rnacentral:rRNA from 1 species
GCGGCGGACGGGUGAGUAACACGUGGAUAACCUACCUAUAAGACUGGGAUAACUUCGGGAAACCGGAGCUAAUACCGGAUAAGAUUUUGAACCGCAUGGUUCAAUAGUGAAAGACGGCCUUGCUGUGACUUAUAGAUGGAUCCGCGCCGUAUUAGCUAGUUGGUAAGGUAACGGCUUACCAAGGCAACGAUACGUAGCCGACCUGAGAGGGUGAUCGGCCACACUGGAACUGAGACACGGUCCAGACUCC